CAAUUUACUAAUUGUAGUUACAAUUAUUCUUGAAAUGUGAAUGUUUAAUAUUUGUAAUCAAUAGAAGAACAUUUAAUUUGGUUGAUUCUUUCCUUUUGUUUGUGGUUUUCGCUUUAAUUUCAUGUCCAUCAAAUUGUGACUUUGAUUUGGCUGUUAAAUUGUUGUGGUCAAAUUGAUGAUGAUUAUUGGUGAUCAUCAUGAUGUGUAUUCACAUUUUGUUUGAGACAGACAAUUUAGUAAUUGAAAGUUGAUAUGUUUAACCAACCAAAUCAUCAAUUAACCGACAUCAUCAGGUAUCUUAAAACCUAAAGACCAAUGGUGAUUAUUUGAUUUUUUCUGUUGCUCUCAUCAUCAUCAUCUUAAAGUGACCAUUGUCUCUGUUAAUUUCACAAUCAUUUCAUUUGACCAACAAAUGAUGGAUAUCAAGUUAACUACUCCAAUUAAAUUGUACAUUGUCUUCAUGUUCAACAUUCUGAUUGAUUGGGAACAAAGGUGACUUCAAAUUAACUAUUACAUUUACGUAACAAGAUGACCACUCACAUGGUCCAUGGUGUGCAAUAGAUACUGAUGAUGAUUAUGACGACGAGGAUGAUGAUGAUGAUGAUAAAGCAAAUGAUCAAAUUAAAUAAGCAUUAGUAAAAACAAGACAAUGGUUAAACUAAGGUUACCAAUGACCAACCUUGAAUAAACAUAAUCCAAAGGAGGAAAAUUAAUGUUAAAGAAACUCAACUGGACAUCGAGAUGAAGUAAAUCAAACCAAAGGAUUUUCCUGAUUGUUACCUAAACCACCAAGAGAUUUGAUUAUCAUCAUCAAAAGAUUAAAGGAUCAUUUUGAAUGACCAAGUGACUUUGUAGUGGUCAAGGAUGUUGACAAAUCUGAAGGAGAAAUGGUUACAAUAUAUUAAUUCAUUUCAGGAUGAAAUUUUUAUAAUCCAAAUAAUCAUGACAUUUUCAUCUUAAUCAUCAUCAUCAUCACUAAACCUUUCUAAUCAUCUUUUGAUUUCUGAAUCUUCAUCAUCCUCAUGGGUCCAAUAUCAUCAUCUAAGAUGAAAGAGUAACUUGUUACCAUUAAGAAAUCAAUCUUAUCCAUGGAGAAGAUGAAAAACUAACUAAACAAUUCCCAAUGAGAAUCAGUGAUCAUCAAGCAAUCAAGAUGAUAAUAUUGUAUAAUCAAGAUGAUUAUAAGUAUUAAUGUGUCAACUUACCAAAGAUGAUACAACAAUUAACAUUAAUCACUACCAUAUGAAGAUAACUGAUUAUAAAAGUUUGAUUGUUUCAUUUACUAUCUACUAUCAACCGACCAAAUCAAUCAAUGAUCCAUUGAGUUAAUUGUUUUCCCGUUAUAAAUAUCAAUGAAUUACAGUUAAUUUUUUUUUCUCCUCUUCUCCUCUAACAAUUAACUUAAUUAUUAUCAUUAUUACAAGGUAUUCAAAGUUAGUGUGUGUAUGUCAAUCAACUGAACUAAACUUAAUACUAAACACAAUUAUUAUUAUUGUUACUGAUUCCCAUCAACCAUUAAAGAUUCAAGUCUCAAGUUAAUCAAAUCGCAGUCUUUCUUUAUUUUCUUUAUUUGUAUUAUCAACACCGGAGAGUUACAAUUUAAUAGUAAUUCAAGUCUCAAGAAGGUAACAUGAUGAUGAUUAUAAUGGUUAACAAUACAAUUCAAAUAAAAUCCCGUUGGAAAGAUGAUUAAGAAGGAGCAAUUGAAGCGGGAAAAUGUCACAUAUUUUAUUCAAUGGGAAAAAGAGACUCGGAAAAGUUAAAUUUGUAAAUAUUAUCAACACAAUAACAAUCUGAUUGAAAUUGAUUCAGUUUGUUGAUAUAAUCAUGAUGAUAAUGGUAACGGAGUAACAAUAACAACUUGUAAUAAAAUGAAAAGUGUUUAGUUAGUCACUGAAUUAGAUGAGAUAUAAACAUUUACCAUUAUCAUUGUUAUCAUCAUCAUCAUCAUCAUCAUCAUCUCACCUUUAAAACGAUAAUAGUAUUAUUAUGAUGACGAUGAUGAUAAAAGAAGACAAAAAGAGAUGAUAACAUGAAUAGUUGUUCAUUAAUCCAUAGGAAAAAUAUAGUUUCUUAUUGUAAAGUAAAUUGUUGUUGGUAAUAUGGAAAAGAAAUGUAAAUUUAACGAUUCGAUGUUAGUGUAACAAUUUACUAAUUCAGUUAUUUCAAUUUCAGAUUUGAUAAAAUUUACUGUUGAAGUGAAAACAAUUUGAUUUGGAUGCGUUAAUAGUUAUUCAAACUGUGUUUUCAUCAAGAGGUGAUGAGGAUAAUCAACUGAUGGAAUCAACGGAAUCAACAAAAACACCAUAAUACAAUUUCAUCGCAGCGUAAACAUGAUUUAAUUAUGUUAUAAUCCAAUGAUGAGAGACAAUCAAGAUGAAAGUGGUUGUCAUCUUGGUGGUGAUGAUGAUAAAAUGAUGAUAAUUUAAAGCAAACAAUAAGUGAACAAGAAUCAAAGUCAAUUGAAUUACAUGGUAAUGAGACAAUGAGUAACUAACAGAACAAUAAUUGUAACAAUAUUAUUAUAUUUUCACUUGAUUAUAAUUAUAUUGUUAUCAACACAAUAACAAACGUAAAAGUUAAUUUCUUUUUCUAUAUUUAAUUGUAAUUCAAGAUAAUUAACAAAAUUUUGUCUCUUCA